rnacentral:rRNA from 1 species
CUGCUGCCUCCCGUAGGAGUCUGGGCCGUGUCUCAGUCCCAAUGUGGCCGUCCACCCUCUCAGGCCGGCUACUGAUCGUCGCCUUGGUAGGCCGUUACCCUGCCAACAAGCUAAUCAGACGCGGGUCCAUCUUACACCACCGUGGUUUUCAAGGAAACACAUGCAUGUUCUCCUGUUAUGCGGUAUUAGCACCUAUUUCUAAGUGUUAUCCCCCGGUGUAAGGCAGGUUGCCCACGCGUUACUCACCCGUCCGCCACUAAAA